CCUACGGGGGGCUGCAGUCGAGAAUCUUGGGCAAUGCACGAAAGUGUGACCCAGCGACGCCGCGUGAUGGAUGAAGGCCCUCUGGGUUGUAAACAUCUUUUAUGGGGAAAGAAUCAAUGACGGUACCCCAUGAAUAAGCCACGGCUAACUACGUGCCAGCAGCCGCGGUAAUACGUAGGUGGCAAGCGUUGUCCGGAUUUACUGGGCGUAAAGCGUACGCAGGCGGAAGGUUAAGUAGGAAGUGAAAGGUUGGAGCUCAACUCUAACACUGCUCCCUAUACUGGCCUUCUUGAGUGGCGGAGAGGAAAGCGGAACAAGUUGUGUAGCGGUGAAAUGCGUUGAUAUAACUUGGAACACCAAUGGCGAAAGCAGCUUUCUGGACGCAAACUGACGCUCAUGUACGAAAGCCAAGGUAGCAAACAGGAUUAGAUACCCGGGUA
rnacentral:rRNA from 1 species